GUCGUUCGCCAUUGCACAGCUCGCAGUCUCUCUCUCUCUCUCUCUCUGUUCUAUCCAGAGACCAGAUCCUUUACAGCAAAGUAGCUUGAGCUGGUUUUCUGUUGCUUCUGAUGGUCCUGGAUCUCUCUCUCCUCCCAUCCAGUGGCUUCUGUUGAAAGGAGGUGAAAGUUAGUUAUUAAUAGAUUUGAUUUGUCUGUUUUACCUUUUGUGUUUUUUGAAUUCAUAAGUUUGUUCAAUUAACAUCGAGUCUGUAGCAUGAUAUAUACAUAAUAUAUUUGUAAGUCUAUUUUCAUUUCAUCCCAAUUAGUUGGCAAUUUUGGUUCUUGGAAUGUCAAAAGGACAAAUUAUUAUUAAUGGAUCUUAUAUUUACUUCUUUUUUUUUCUGCCACCUGUUAUCUAUGCCAAUUUUGAGAAUGAGAGCAGGUAGGUACCUCAGUCUAUUGUGAUGUUUUAUUGGACAAUAAAAAAGAUUGUCCCUUCUAGUGCUACAUAAUAGUGAGACUCCAUCUGGUAUUUUUUUUUUCCAAUAACACUAUGUAGCAACAAUUUCAUUGACUACCAAUUGAUUUAAAUGAUAUUCUUGUGGUUUUAGGCUGAUGAGCGAGAAGUACAUCUAGGGUUGAUAUAUCCUUGUUUUCUGGGUGCCAGAAUGCUAGGAAGCACAGUUUUUCCAUGGUUUUUCAGUGGACCAUUAUCUCUUGGUACUGAGGAUUGCCUGGUAUAUGUGUUCAUAGUAAUGGGUUUUGUUUUGUCCAUAGUGGCCUACGAUUAUCAGGAAAUUGGAGUUCUUGUAGCACUAUUCUGCUUAUUUCAUGCUUGUGUUGGCCUUCUUUUACCAUCGCUUACCAGAUUGAGGACUAUGUA